UAGAUAAAGCCAAUCCCGGAAGACUCCUCGGAGGAGGUGGCUUUGGGGCUGAAACAUCUUCCCAGGUGACCCUGUCCUUACGGGGAGUCCAUGGAGAAGGGGCCUUGGGGAGGUGCUCCGGAGACACUCCAUCCUGACCUGACCGUAGUGUACAGAAAAGACAAGCGAGAAGUGGAAAAAUCACUCUCAUUCCCUCGGGCAGACCCCAGUGUCCAUUCCUGACUUCGGGUCCAGGCAGAAGCAAGUGAUGAGGAUUGAACUCCAGACCUUGCACUUGUGAAGCAGGC